UACGUAGGGGGCUAGCGUUGUCCGGAUUUAUUGGGCGUAAAGAGCGUGUAGGCGGCCAGAUAGGUCCGUUGUGAAAACUGGAGGCUUAACCUCCAGCUGUCGAUGGAAACCAUCUGGCUAGAGUCCGGAAGAGGAGAGUGGAAUUCCUGGUGUAGCGGUGAAAUGCGCAGAUAUCAGGAGGAACACCCGUGGCGAAAGCGGCUCUCUGGGACGGUACUGACGCUGAGACGCGAAAGCGUGGGGAGCAAACAGG
rnacentral:rRNA from 1 species